AAUCUAAUGGAAAUUUCUGAAAAAAGUAAAUUACUGAAACCAUUAUGUAGAAGUGCUUCUGCUACAUA
rnacentral:pre_miRNA from 1 species